rnacentral:tRNA from 1 species
CCUGAUAUCUCAGUGGGUAAAGAAUCUGCCUGCAAUGCAGGAGAUCCUGGUUGGAUUCCUGUGUCAGGA